rnacentral:tRNA from 1 species
GCGGAAGUGGCGGAACUGGCAGACGCGCAGGCCUCAGAAGUCUGUGAGCGCAAGCUUAUGUGGGUUCAACUCCCACCUUCCGCACCA